AGUGAACGCUGGCGGUAGGCCUAACACAUGCAAGUCGAACGGCAGCACAGUAAGAGCUUGCUCUUACGGGUGGCGAGUGGCGGACGGGUGAGGAAUACAUCGGAAUCUACUUUUUCGUGGGGGAUAACGUAGGGAAACUUACGCUAAUACCGCAUACGACCUACGGUUGAAAGCAGUGGAUCUUCGGACCUUGCGCGAUUGAAUGAGCCGAUGUCGGAUUAGCUAGUUGGCGGGGUAAAGGCCCACCAAGGCGACGAUCCGUAGCUGGUCUGAGAGGAUGAUCAGCCACACUGGAACUGAGACACGGUCCAGACCCCUACGGGAGGCAGCAGUGGGGAAUAUUGGACAAUGGGCGCAAGCCUGAUCCAGCCAUACCGCGUGGGUGAAGAAGGCCUUCGGGUUGUAAAGCCCUUUUGUUGGGAAAGAAAAGCAGCAGGUUAAUACCCCGCUGUUCUGACGGUAACCAAAGAAUAAGCACCGGCUAACUUCGUG
rnacentral:rRNA from 1 species